AUUGAACGCUGGCGGCAGGCCUAACACAUGCAAGUCGAACGAGUGGCGGACGGGUGAGUAAUGUCUGGGAAACUGCCUGAUGGGGGGGGAUAACUACUGGAAACGGUAGCUUAUAACGCAUACCAUCCAAUGUGCCCAGGUGGGAUUGGCUGGGUGGUGGGGUAACGGCUCACGAGGGCGACGUUCCCUAGCUGGUCGGAGAGGAUGACCGGCCCAACUGGAACGGAGACAGGGUCCAACCCCCUACGGGAGGCACCAGUGGGAAAUAUUGGAAAAUGGGCGCAAGCCUGAUGCAGCCAUCCCGCGUGGAUGAUGAGGUCCUUCGGGUUGUAAACUACGUUCAUCGGGGCGGCGUUACCCGCAGAGGAAGCAACGGCUAACUCCGUGCCAGCAGCCGCGGUAAUUC
rnacentral:rRNA from 1 species